CUACGGGACGCUGCAGUGAGGAAUAUUGCACAAUGGGGGGAACCCUGAUGCAGCAACGCCGCGUGGAGGAUGACGCAUUUCGGUGUGUAAACUCCUUUUAUAUGUCAAGAAAAUGACGGUAGCAUAUGAAUAAGCACCGGCUAACUCCGUGCCAGCAGCCGCGGUAAUACGGAGGGUGCAAGCGUUACUCGGAAUCACUGGGCGUAUAGGACGCGUAGGCGGGUUGGAAAGUCAGGUGUGAAAUCCUACAGCUUAACUGUAGAACUGCACUUGAAACUGCUAAUCUAGAGUAUGGGAGGGGGAGAUGGAAUUAGUGGUGUAGGGGUAAAAUCCGUAGAUAUCACUAGGAAUACCUAAAGCGAAGGCGAUCUCCUGGAACAUUACUGACGCUAAGGCGUGAAAGCGUGGGGAGCAAACAGGAUUAGAUACCCUCGUAGUC
rnacentral:rRNA from 1 species